AGAGUUUGAUCCUGGCUCAGAUUGAACGCUGGCGGCGUGCCUAACACAUGCAAGUCGAGCGGCAGCGCGGGGGCAACCCUGGCGGCGAGCGGCGGACGGGUGAGCAAUAUUUGGGAAUCUGCCUAUUAGUGGGGGACAACCCGGGGAAACUCGGGCUAAUACCGCAUACGCACUACGGUGGAAAGCCGGGGACCGCAAGGCCUGGCGCUAAUAGAUGAGCCCAAAUCGGAUUAGCUAGUUGGUGAGGUAAUGGCUCACCAAGGCUACGAUCCGUAGCUGGUCUGAGAGGACGGCCAGCCACACCGGAACUGAGACACGGUCCGGACUCCUACGGGAGGCAGCAGUGGGGAAUAUUGGACAAUGGGCGAAAGCCUGAUCCAGCGACGCCGCGUGGGUGAAGAAGGCCUGCGGGUUGUAAAGCCCUUUCGGUGGGGAAGAAAAGCCUCGACCUAACACGUCGGGGUCUUGACGUAACCCAUAGAAGAAGCACCGGCUAACUCUGUGCCAGCAGCCGCGGUAAUACAGAGGGUGCGAGCGUUAAUCGGAAUUACUGGGCGUAAAGCGCGCGUAGGCGGCUUUGCAAGUCGGGUGUGAAAUCCCCAGGCUUAACCUGGGAACUGCAUUCGAGACUGCAUUGCUAGAGUAUGGGAGAGGGAAGUGGAAUUUCAGGUGUAGCGGUGAAAUGCGUAGAUAUCUGAAGGAACAUCAGUGGCGAAAGCGACUUCCUGGACCAAUACUGACGCUCAUGUGCGAAAGCGUGGGGAGCAAACAGGAUUAGAUACCCUGGUAGUCCACGCCAUAAACGAUGAGAACUGGAUGUCGGGAGGGUCUGCCUCUCGGUGUCGUAGCUAACGCGUUAAGUUCUCCGCCUGGGGAGUACGGCCGCAAGGUUGAAACUUAAAGGAAUUGACGG
rnacentral:rRNA from 1 species